GAACGCUCGUAGCAAUACGGGAGUGGCAGACGGGUGAGUAACGCGUGGGAACAUACCCUCCGGUUCGGAAUAGCUCAGGGAAACUUGGAUUAAUACCGGAUACGGCCGACAGGCGAAAGAUUUAUCGCCGGAGGAUUGGCCCGCGUUCGAUUAGCUAGUUGGUGAGGUAACGGCUCACCAAGGCGAUGAUCGAUAGCUGGUCUGAGAGGAUGAUCAGCCACAUUGGGACUGAGACACGGCCCAAACUCCUACGGGAGGCAGCAGUGGGGAAUAUUGGACAAUGGGCGCAAGCCUGAUCCAGCCAUGCCGCGUGAGUGAUGAAGGCCUUAGGGUUGUAAAGCUCUUUCGCUCGGGACGAUAAUGACGGUACCGAGAUAAGAAGCCCCGGCUAACUUCGUG
rnacentral:rRNA from 1 species